UACGUAGGGGGCUAGCGUUGUCCGGAAUCAUUGGGCGUAAAGAGCGUGUAGGCGGCCCGGUAAGUCCGCUGUGAAAGUCGGGGGCUCAACCCUCGAAUGCCGGUGGAUACUGUCGGGCUAGAGUGCGGAAGAGGCGAGUGGAAUUCCUGGUGUAGCGGUGAAAUGCGCAGAUAUCAGGAGGAACACCAGUAGCGAAGGCAGCUCGCUGGGACGGUACUGACGCUAAGGCGCGAAAGCGUGGGGAGCGAACAGG
rnacentral:rRNA from 1 species